AGGAGACAUUACGGGAGGCAGCAGUGAGGGAUAUUGCACAAUGGGCGCGAGCCUGAUGCAGCGACGCCGCGUGGGUGAAGAAGGAUUUCGGUCUGUAAAGCCCUUUUCUGUGUGACGAGAAUGGACGGUAGCACAGGAAUAAGUCUCGGCUAACUACGUGCCAGCAGCCGCGGUAAAACGUAGGAGGCAAGCGUUAUCCGGAGUAACUGGGCGUAAAGGGCGAGUAGGUGGUUCAAUAAGUUGGUUAUGAAAGCUCCUGGCUAAACUGGGAGAGGUUGACCAAGACUGUUGGAUUUGAGUGGAGAAGAGGUAAACGGAAUUCCGCGUGUAGUGGUGAAAUGCGUAGAGAUGCGGAAGAACACCAGUGGCGAAGGCGGUUUACUGGUCUCCAACUGACACUGAACCGCGAAAGCAUGGGUAGCGAACGGGAUUAGAAACCCCGGUAGUCCAUGCCGUAAACGAUGCACACUAAACGUUCGACAUCCGCGAGGGUGUCGAGUGUUGAAGCCAACGCGAUAAGUGUGCCGCCUGGGGAGUACGGUCGCAAGGCUACAAACUCGAAGGAA
rnacentral:rRNA from 1 species